rnacentral:lncRNA from 1 species
CCAAUGCUCUCCCAAAUGCACACAUGCACACACACCCAGUACAUUCCUACUGGGGGCCCCUGGUAAUUGGGGAAGUGGGGCUGGCUGACCCAGCCCAUGUCUUAUGCUGAUUGACAGCUUGGAAGUAAGCCCUGAACACCCAGGGAAGCUGGCCCAAGAAGAUCUGGUCUCCAUCAGGUGGCAUCCAUGUCUUCUCAGCCAUCUGCCAUGAACUGUCCAGCUGUGCUUGCCCUAAGCCAGAACCAGUUCUCUCAGACUUCUGGGACUCUCAAAAACAAGAGCUCUCUCCUAGGUUCUUAGGACAACAUUGGGAUGCUGUUAGGGAAGAAAAAACUGGCAAGCAAGGAAUGCAGCACAUGGCCAGCCGUCUUCACGAUUCAGAGGCUGUCAGGACUCCAAGCCACCCCGGCCUCCCUGCCUCUGGCCUCCUUCACAGCGCAGUGGCCAGCAGUGACAACUGGGAUCGCAGCAGCCCGUGUACUGGCCCCGCAGCAGAGCCCCUCCAGGCCUCGGCUUCCCACCAAGGAGGGUUCAGAUUUCUCCAUUUUAUUCUUCAGAAGAUCAGCUGCCCACAUCGCGGAAAUUUUGAUACCAUUUCCAGCAGCUUCCUGUUCAUCUCAUCCCUAAGAAGGAAUAAAGACUCCCCCAGAGGGCUGCACUGUUCUUCCCUAUUAUGGAGAUGCGGCUUGGCAGAGGAGCACCGUUCCCAAUAAACAGAGGGCCAUCGCUUUUGUGGACACAGCGGACUCUCUCUUUGAUGAGAAGGGAACUCUGCAGGCUGAUGUCACUGAUGGAAGGAGAGGCAGGGUGCGCAUCACAGGAGACGUGUCGUCACACACACUGGGUUCCGACUCUUGGCAGCUCACCUACUGGCCGUGUUCCCCCAGGACAGCCAUGGAGCCUCCGUGAGACUCAGUUGCUUCGUUGGGAAAAUCGAACUAAGAACACUGCAGAAGGCAAGGGCGAGUGGAAUGUGGCGGCAUCACCAGCCACACCCCAUGGGCUUCAGAGCAACAGACUCCACCCCCCGGGUCCCACUCCAGACUGGACCAUGACUGAGGCCCCAAAACCCAUAAAAAAUUCUAUACUCCCACCAAGUCAGCAGGAGAGGCAGCUACGUGAUUUCGUCUGA